rnacentral:lncRNA from 1 species
UGAGAGGUUACACUGAGCUGGGGAGGUUCCGCCACCAGUGUCUGCUCAAAGUGGUUGGGGGAUGGGGUACUUCCCACUUAGGAGGGAAGGGGGGAAUAUGAACAGUGGGCUCUGCAGGCUGGAGUUGCCCUAGUGUCAGGGUGAAGGCUGGGAGCCAACGUCUAAUCAUCAAGGUGAUGGAACUCUGAGGGCUGAAGGGAUGUUAAGGCACUGAGGGCCAGAGCACUUGUUCUCAUCAGCAUCAUCAUCAGCCUCAGCAUCAUUGUCACCGUAAUCAGCAUCAUUGGCAUCAGCAUCAUCAGCAUCACCACCCUCAUCAUCAUCAGUAGCAUCAAUAUCACUAUCAUCAGCAUUAGCAUCAGCAUCAUCAGCAGCAUCAGCACCAUCAGCAUCAUCGUCAUCAGGAUCAUCAGCAUCAUCAGCAGCAUCACCACCAUUAUCAGCAUCAGGAUCACCAUCUAACAUUUUUUGAGGGCUUCAAAUGCACAAGGCACUGGGCUGAUUUCUUUACAUGCAUUGUCUCACUUGUUUCCAACAAUGACAGCCCCCAAAGUUAAGUAUUAUUAUUGUUAAUAUCCUCAUUUACAGAUAUAUAAACUGAAACUUAGAGAGAUUAAGCAACUUGCUUAGGGCCACAGAGCUAUGUUAAGUGUAAUUUUCAAAAAUGUAAAUCACAAUUCUCAGGAAAAUAUAAAAU